CAAUACGAGCGGCAGACGGGUGAGUAACGCGUGGGAACAUACCCUUUUCUACGGAAUAACGCAGGGAAACUUGUGCUAAUACCGUAUGAGCCCUUCGGGGGAAAGAUUUAUCGGGAAAGGAUUGGCCCGCGUUGGAUUAGCUAGUUGGUGGGGUAAAGGCCUACCAAGGCGACGAUCCAUAGCUGGUCUGAGAGGAUGAUCAGCCACAUUGGGACUGAGACACGGCCCAAACUCCUACGGGAGGCAGCAGUGGGGAAUAUUGGACAAUGGGCGCAAGCCUGAUCCAGCCAUGCCGCGUGAGUGAUGAAGGCCCUAGGGUUGUAAAGCUCUUUCACCGGAGAAGAUAAUGACGGUAUCC
rnacentral:rRNA from 1 species